AUCCAGCUAACGAGUCUCAAACAGGACGAACCGUGCGUCAAACUGGAU
rnacentral:hammerhead_ribozyme from 1 species